CCGAAGUUAAGCGUGCUUGGGCGAGAGUAGUACUAGGAUGUGUGACCUCCUGGGAAGUCCUCGUGUUGCACCCCUGGG
rnacentral:rRNA from 1 species